GAUGAAAAAUUGUGUCCUGCCUUUUUUUUUAGUUGUAAUCUCUGUCCUGCCUUUUUAUUUUUCAGUCUAUUCGGUCCUGCCUUUUUUUUUCUUAGCUUAUCCUGACUUUUUUACAACAAUUGUCAUCCUGCCUUUUUUUUUGCCAAGUUACUCAUGCUGCCUUUUUUUCUUACUCAAAAUCCUGUCCUGCCUUUUUUUCAAAUUUCAUCCUAGCCCCCCCCCCCCCCCCCCCCCCCCCCCAUAGAUAUCAAAUGGUAACUCCCUUAGGGAUAAGAGAAGAUAACAUCUGUCAAAGGCCAACGAAAUUC
rnacentral:lncRNA from 1 species